AUGGAAGUGAUGAUUAUUUCCCCAGAUGAUCGACGCUGACUAAACUGAGCGAUUUUUUUUCUCUUCUGAGAAACCAAGCCAAAUGUUCUGAUCCAU